GUAUAUAAAUAAAUUUUUUAUGUUUUUUAAAAUUUAUUAUAAAUUUAUUUUACAUGUAAAUUUUAGUAUAAAAUUUUAAUUAUUUUAAUAAUAAUUAAUUUAAUUAUACAGUAAUUAAUAUUAAAAAUUUAAGAAAUUAAGAUUUAGUAAUAUUUAAAUUAAUAACUAAUUUUGUGCCAGCAGUUGCGGUUAAACAAAAGUUAAAUUAAAUUAUUUCAGUAUAUAAUAAAUAUUUGAUAUUUAAAUUAAAUAUUAAAUUAUUAAGUGAAAUUUUAAUUUAAUUAAAAAUUAUAUAAAAAUUAUGAUUUAAUAAAUUUUAUUAUAAACUAGGAUUAGAUACCCUAUUAUUAAAAAAUUAAUUAAAAAUACUAAAAUAGUAAAUAAAAUAUUAUUGAAACUUAAAUAAUAUGGCGGUAUUUUAGUUCAUUUAGAGGAAUCUGUCUAGUAAUUGAUAAUCCACGAAUAAAUUUACUUAAUUUAUAAUUUUGUAUAUCAUUGUUAAAAAAAUAUUUUUUAAUAAAAAUAAUAUUUUAAAAUUUAAAAUAAAAUUUAAUUCAGAUCAAGAUGCAGAUUAUAGUUAAGUUUAAGAUGGGUUACAAUAAAUUUAUUUAAAUGAAAAUAAUUUUGUAAUAUUUAAUUGAAAGUGGAUUUAAAUGUAAUUUUAAUUAAUUUAUUAAAAUGAUUAAAAAUUGAAAUAUGUACAUAUUGCCCGUCACUUUCAUUUAAAAAUUGAAAUAAGUCGUAACAAAGUAGAGGUACUGGAAAGUGUUUCUAGAAUGAU
rnacentral:ncRNA from 1 species